rnacentral:rRNA from 1 species
AGUGAACGCUGGCGGUAGGCCUAACACAUGCAAGUCGAACGGACGCACAGUAAGAGCUUGCUCUUACGGGUGGCGAGUGGCGGACGGGUGAGGCAUACAUCGGAAUCUACUUUUUCGUGGGGGAUAACGUAGGGAAACUUACGCUAAUACCGCAUACGACCUACGGGUGAAAGCAGGGGAUCUUCGGACCUUGCGCGACUGAAUGAGCCGAUGUCGGAUUAGCUAGUUGGCGGGGUAAAGGCCCACCAAGGCGACGAUCCGUAGCUGGUCUGAGAGGAUGAUCAGCCACACUGGAACUGAGACACGGUCCAGACUCCUACGGGAGGCAGCAGUAGGGAAUAUUGGACAAUGGGCGCAAGCCUGAUACAGCAAUACCGCGUGAGUGAAGAAGGCCUUCGGGUUGUAAAGCGCUUUUGUUGGGAAAGAAAAAAAGCAGGUUAAUACCACACUGUUCUGACGGUACCCAAAGAAUAAGCACCGGCUAACUACGUG